UUGCCUGUUAGCAGAACCUGUUCUACAGCACAACUAACGAUCGGCGUAUUGUAGCACUUUAUUGUGCUUAUUUAAUAAAUACUGCAUUGGUUGUAUGAUGAUAACCGAUGGAUAGAGUCCAAUCGGUUCGUUACUUUUUAUUUAUUCAAUGUUCAAAUGAAGACUGUUGGUAAGUGACCGAUCGUCACAUGCAAGUGAGAUCGGUCGCUCAAUGGUUUUGAUUAGUUUGCAUUAUUAUUCGGUAACUUUUGCAAUAGCUUAUAUUUGUAUUGCCCUCUAGUGGGCCAUAGCCAUCACAAUGAAACUGUUUGUCCCGGUUGAGCAUUUGAUUGAUGUUGAAAAUCUGAUUGAAAUAGUGCUCUUUGUCUGCUUUGAUUCGUUAUGAUUCGUUUGAUUUUUAGCAUUUUGAAUCGAUCCUCUACGAAAAUGUUUGAUUACAAAAAUGAGUUGAAUAUUAGUCAAAAAACGGUGGAUCUUUAAAGAAAAUUGGCUUUUGAAUGAGGAUAGUGAAUUUAUUUCAUUUUUUGUUCAAAGAGCAAUCUAUAGAGCAUAUACUCUUAUAAUAAUGAUAUAAAUCUGUACAUGUAAAAUUUUACUUUCGCUUUAUUUUUAAAAGAGGAAAUUCCAAUGAUUAAAAACUAAAAAUUUUACUUUCGUGUCAAAAAAAAAUUCAAAAUGAUUGCGAACAUUAACAGCGGUGUAAUAUUCUCCGUCCUGCCGAUGAAUGCGAUCUUCAUAGCAAUCAGUUCUUACAAUGGGGGUGUUGUUGGGUAGCAAAAUGGAAUUGUGGGUCCGUCAUUAUUAGGAAAUUGAUCUUGAAGCCAACGAUAAUGUUUUUUUAAGUCUGUGUAACCCAUAUAUGGUUUGAAUUUAUGACUCAAUAGUCCGACUGCCACCUGAUUGCCUUCUCAAUUUGUAUGGAUGAGCGGGCUUCCUAUGAAUAUGAAUGAUUGAAAUGUGAAAAAUAUCAACUUGAAGUUCAGGAUUGCGAAAAUAACACCACACAUACCGGAGUCCCCCGACUCAGAUGUGCCCACCGUAUUUUGAAAUUGUACACGAACUAUGUCUCCUGCACUGGCAAGGACAUUGAACGGGCCGUCUUUACUUCUACAGGACCAAAGGAAGCUCUCUUAUACUUUCUGUUCGUCUGGCAAGCGUUAUUACACAUAUGUCGUGAUGGUACUCGCCCUUUUUAAAAGCAUCAUGACACUAAACGUGUGAUUUGUCUAUAAUAAAAUAUUCUCCAUUUGUAAGGUAUAUAGUUGCCUUGCUCAAUUCCUUGUAGCCGCAGUGUGCGGCUGAUAAAAUCUAAUAUGAAGAAAUAAAUUAGCCAAUGGACAAUAUCUUUUCUUUUAUUUCCGCUGAAAAUUUGACAAAAUGAGGUUCCACAGAAUUUUUUUAAAACUCAAUUUUGUUUAAUUCUUUAUCAGCAUUCGAACGUUAGAUGCAAUUUUCAAUUUCCGUGGACCAAUUUCAACAAAUUUCUAGAAUUUCAUUUCAUUUAUUUUAGAAAAUCAAAACUGAAUUUAUUUUUUAAAAAAAGUUCCCUACACUUAUAUGUUGCUUGGAAAUAAAAAAAACCGGAACAUUCUACAUUGAAACUAAAGAAUCCUUCGUCUACAUUUAUUUUUACGUAGUAUGGAUAAUCAGCACUAUUUACGCGAGCAUUUAUUCUCUCGGUUUCUUUAUCAAACUUCAUUCCUAUAAAAUCUUCAAUAGAACUUUUUGUCGACACUUGAGUUUGUUCCUCGUUUGAUUUAUUCGUUACAUGCUCAGGUAAGGUUAUUUCGGCUGUUAAAAAUGUUACAAAUGAAAUUUCUCACACAAGUUUCUUUGCUCAUGAGCAAUUGCACUCUUCGUCGACACACAACAAAACUCACCUUUUUUUUCAUUUCGUCUGUAUGUAGAUUGUACAACUCCUAUAGCACAGAGAAAUGUGAGGAGUAUUACAACUUUCAUGUUGAAUAUUUAAAUAAACAAAUUCGCGAACAAAAGUUACACAAAUUUUCACUUUGAUGAUAUUUUCUUUCAGAACUAACGUUGUCACUAAUUGAAACACCAUCAAUUUCUGCUCUGCUAGCAAAGCAAACUAUCCGAAUAUGUUUCAAUUUGUACGUGCUUUUUCUUAACUUAAUAUUGGCAUGACGUUAUUCAAAUGCUAGUGCACUGAAUAAUUCACAACAAUCGACGAUUCUGAUAUUACAACUUUGUGAACGUGACUUUUUUCUAAACUUUACAAAGUCAUCUUCGAUGUAAGAUAGAUUUGUUUGUGCACGACUAUGGGUGGAAUGUUUUUGUCUCGUUUAGCUGCGUUAGCUGUUUUGAUUGUGUGCACAUUCGAUUCACGGCGAUCACUUUGAGCUCGUUCAUUCGCUUCAACAAUCGAUUGCUGUGUAUUCGUUCCAGUUGCUGCACCUUUGUUGUUGUUUUUGCAUACAUUGACGAAAUCCUGCAUCCGAGGAAAGUCCGUGUUUUCGUCGUCGGCAUCAAAUUCGUCGCAAGACAUUUGAUUCGUUCUGCUUGUGCUGUUUGAAUUCUCUUUCUGAAUGUCCGGCACUGUUUUGUUUGCCUUCUUUCUCUUUCUCUCUGACGCUUUCGAUUGAUCCUUCGUUUCGUACUCGAGUAGUUUUGCAGCGAUUUGCUUGAAGAAGAAAAAACACAUUAUAUGGUUUACUUAUUGCUUUAUUGUCAUUUGAUAAAAUUGUAUUAACAGUGACUCCCCGUACUAUCCAUUAAUCCAUUGACAGUGGAACACCUUCUAAAAUACAUAUGAUGAUGUUAUAGUUAGUUUAUUACUAAAGAAAUAAAACAUGUCAUGGUCUUAGAGUAUAUUGUAAAUUUUCUAUAAUCUAAAGUUAUGUCAAGUGCUUGCUUUGACUUGCUACUUCUUCUUGUGUUGCACGUAACCGUUUACGCUCUCUAGCGAUGAAUGCUGCGCUGUCUGCAUAAUCGCCGUAUAUGCAGUCAUCAUCAUCGAUCAAUAAGGAACAAUUAUCUAAACACGCUUCCGCGUCUUUAGACUUAUUCAGAUCUGCGUUCGUCACAGGGGCACUUGGUUUAAUCGAAGAAACUAAAUCUGAUUUUAUUGUGUCCAGUGGGUUAGUUGUCCAGUCAUAAUGUAAACGUAAGAGAUUAAAUGCUCGUUUUGUGGUAGCUGCAAAUCCUUCUGCUCGUCUGUUGAAUACUUCUAAUUCUUUUGGAUUGUUUUUUACGCUGUCAUAUGUAUUUCUUAAAUAUUGAGCUAAGUAAUUGUGUUUACUGAUAAUGUUUCUUUUAUAUCCCUUAUAUAAUUCAUCGUUUUUUGUCAAUGGUCGAUAUUCGUAUUGUCUGAUUUUGUCGAAUUCCUGCGUAAAUGAUUCGGACAGUAACUUAUAUUCUGCGUAAUUCAACUUGUGUGACAUUACUUGAAUUUUUUGAUAAACGAUGACAAAAUUCAAUUCGAUUUUUGACUCAUUGCAGAGAGAGAAAAAAAAUGUCAAUAAUAAAAAAUAUUUACGAUAAAGUGUUCAAAAUAAUUCAGUGAUUUAGAUAAAUUCAAAAAUAAAAAAGAAAUCUAAGAAUUAUGUCACAAACAAACGUCACAAAAAUAUUUGACUAUCAGAAGUAUUGAAAAAAUCGUCAAAAAUGACCGACAAAAACAUCAAAACAAUCGACUAAAUUAUAAACAAAAAUUAUCGCUAUAGCAUAUAUGAUUGAAAUGGUUUUCAUCUUAUGGUUUUAUAGAUAACGUCUGUAAUUGUAUUUUUUGUUGCGUAUAAAUGGUUUAUAUAUGCAGUGCUACUUCCGAAAUUAUAUGAUGUUAAAUCGGAAAUAAGGUUCCAACCAUCAGCUCAGCCAUUUGAUGCAUACCGGAUCAGUAGUAUAGAUAUAUGGUUGGACGAAAUGUACAUUUCUAUACUACUCGGAUCUUCAUUUAUGGUUUUAUAGAUAACGUCUGUAAUUCUAUUUUUUUGUUUUUAGUUUACUAUUCCCUUGGAACAAGGGACAUCUUGAAUCUAUUUCUUUGUUCAUCAUUUACAAAAGAUUUGUUGAACAUUCUUAAAAAUAUUUUUUGUUCACGGAUCAAAGGCUACCAGAUAGGCAUAGAUUUGCCGGACAUAUGGGCUUCACCCAACCAUUGAAUACUAAAUGCUUUGUCAAUUAUCAAAAUUGGAAUUCAUUCCGAUUAAUUGUCAUUUCCAAAGCAAUAGCUUGAAUAUUCUCAUCAAUAUUGAGUCUAGCCGAUAUUAAACCGAUAUUUGUAAGAGCUUAAAGAUAUGACGUUCAAAAUACAUGACGCCCAUUUGAGAAUACAAGUAAUUCAUUACAAAAUCAUAGUUGACUAGUUAAUAGUUGCUAUUGAUUCAGAAAAGAACAGCAAACGAUUUUGCGAGAUAAUCGCUGGUCGAGCUGUUUCAAUCCUUCAGUUGGUAAAAAAAAUCUUAUUGAUACAAUUAUCAUAGACUAGCAGCCUCACCUCGAUUAUAGAUUGAUUGGGCCAAAUAUCAUAUGUUCCGAGAUUCAUACUUCUGAAUCUAAUUCAGUUGGUAAACUAGAAAAUAGUUUUCAAUGCUUUAAAAAACAGCAACAAAAGCUUCGCGUGCUACUCGCUGGCUGUUUUUUUCUAAACAAUUUAAUAUUAUAGAAUACCUCAAGAAAUAAGUCCGCUCGUGUUGCAUUGGUUAGCUAAUCGGUGCUUUUCAUUUGAGCUUCGUAGCCUUGUGUUCACGUGUUUGAUUCAAUACAAAGGUAGUGGAAGAGAAAUAAAAAGAAAAACUCCUGUGAUCAUUUUUGAAUCUACGAACAUUUUGGAAUGACAAAUAGUAAUGUAUAUCAACUGUGUUCGAAUUCACUUGAAUAUAUAAAAAUUAUUGUUUGGAACUUGAAAAAAAAUACCAAAAAAAAACCGAAAUUAUCAGGAUAUUACAGAGACUAGUAAUUUGAACUGCAACUAUGAAUUAACGAUAUUAAAUCAAUAAAUAUUUGGCCUAAAACACAGUUUGAAAAUAAGUAGUGUUCAUAAUCAAGAUUAUUAGCUAAAAAUUGUCGAAGCGACUUUUUUCUUCUUCCAAAUCAAAGUGAUUUUGCCAUACAUAAACCAGAGAUAUAAGAACUAUGUAGUAGAUAAGUUGAAUUUGUUAACUAUAUCAGAUAAGACACCAACGCCCGUUGCAGCAUAUUUAUGUCAUGGUCCGCCACAAACACAUGGGACCACACCAAAAAUAGAAAAAGUACCAUCGAUCAAUUUUGUGAAGAGCCAAAAGAAAAUUUAUGAAAAUGUUUGAAGGAAUGAGUUAUGCCACCAAUUCAGUUUAAAAUCAGUCGAUGAAAAGCGGCUGAAGAGCAUUGCUAAUCGAAAUGCAUGUAUUCAUCAUCGAAAUGAACAAACUCAUUGCGCCAUUGGUCACAUAUAACCAUCGUUGAUUGCGAGGCUCAGAAGGAGACCGCGCUUGUUAAAUGCCGAAAAUUCAUCAAAAACCCGUUGAAUCUACGACGAAAGAUGAAAAAGCAAAAAAAUGAAACGGAUUCCUUGGGCUGGACUUCAAUAUAAAUUCGAUCACAUUGCCUUCAUCGUGCUCACACGUGUGGUGGAACGACUCAGGUGUGGAUCGAAAGUCAGAUACGCGUCAUCGCAUUUGUGUCUUCAAAGUCAAACAUAUUGGAUCAAUAGCCAAGCUUAGCAGCCCUGAUCUUUGAAUGAAUUCAGCUCGGAUCAACUAAUAACCAAGAGAGGAAUAAGAGCAACCGACGACCACAAUUCACCAUAUCAAUCACGAAAAGAAAGGUGAAUGAUUGAAUGAACUUCAAAAUCGUUGACAGCUGAUCUUUGUGCUUGCUUCGAAUAAGGCUCUCCUACAUUCUGUAAUACAUUGAAUAGACAUUUUUGCAUCAAACAAUUAUCGAACCGAUCAAUACGAGAAUAAUAUUUUGCGAGUUGAUUGUAGAUAUAGAAAUAGAUUGGCUUAUAUCUUGAAUACCAAACUUCAAAUAAUUGAGGAAAAUCCAGUGUUCAUUAAUUCAAUUUCAUUUAAUUUAUUAUUUUUUUGAAGCAGUACUUUCAAAUAAACAACUCAAGUUGCAAACAAUAAUCGGAUUUGAAAAUAUAAAGCACUCUAAUUAAGCAAAAUGAAAUACGCUAUUUGCUAUGCACAAAAAUGUCGACAUUUUCAAAUGUCGAUCAGAAACAUGUUUAAGAUCUGAGUAUGUUACAGAACAAGAGUUAAGUAGAGUUAAGUAGAGUUCAACACUUGUAACAUUGGUCUGAAAAUAAAACUCAUGAAAUCAAAGGAUAAUUAUGAAUAGAAUUAUAA